rnacentral:rRNA from 1 species
GUCUUUUUGGUAUUUAAUAUAAAGUCUAACCUGCCCACUGAAAGUAAUUUAAAGGGCCGCAGUAUUUUGACUGUGCAAAGGUAGCAUAAUCAUUAGUCUUUUAAUUGAAGGCUGGUAUGAAUGGUUGGAUAAGAUACAAGCUGUGUCAUGAAAAUUAAUAAUUGAAUUUAACUUUUUAGUUAAAAGGCUAAAAUAAAAUUAAAAGACGAGAAGACCCUAUAGAGCUUUAUAUAAUAAUUAUUUAAGUUAUUUAGUUUUUUAAAAUUUAAUUUUUAUAUUGUAUUUUGUUGGGGUGACAAUAAAAUUUAUAAAACUUUUAUUUUUAAUUUACAUUAAUUUAUGGUUAAAUGAUCCAGUUUUAUUGAUUAUAAAUUUAAGUUACCUUAGGGAUAACAGCGUAAUUUUUUUUGAGAGUUCUUAUCGACAAAAAAGAUUGCGACCUCGAUGUUGGAUUAAGAGUAAUUUUGGGUGUAGAAGUUCAAAAUUUAAGUCUGUUCGACUUUUAAAUUCUUACAU